rnacentral:misc_RNA from 1 species
GAUGAAGAACGCAGCGAAAUGCGAUAAGUAAUGUGAAUUGCAGAAUUCAGUGAAUCAUCGAGUCUUUGAACGCACAUUGCGCCCCCUGGUAUUCCGGGGGGCAUGCCUGUCCGAGCGUCAUUGCUGCCCUCAAGCACGGCUUGUGUGUUGGGCCUCCGUCCUCCUCCCGGGGGACGGGCCCGAAAGGCAGCGGCGGCACCGCGUCCGGUCCUCGAGCGUAUGGGGCUUCGUCACCCGCUCUUGUAGGCCCGGCCGGCGCUUGCCGAAACAUCAAUCUUUUUUCCAGGUUGACCUCGGAUCAGGUAGGGAUACCCGCUGAACUUAAGCAUAUCAAUAAGCGGAGGA